UACGUAGGGUGCAAGCGUUGUCCGGAUUUAUUGGGCGUAAAGAGCUCGUAGGCGGUUUGUCGCGUCGGAUGUGAAAACCCAGGGCUCAACCCUGGGCCUGCAUUCGAUACGGGCAGACUAGAGUAUGGCAGGGGAGACUGGAAUUCCUGGUGUAGCGGUGAAAUGCGCAGAUAUCAGGAGGAACACCGGUGGCGAAGGCGGGUCUCUGGGCCGAUACUGACGCUGAGGAGCGAAAGCCGUGGGGAGCGAACAGG
rnacentral:rRNA from 1 species